GGCUACGUAGCUCAGCUGGUUAGAGCACAGCACUCAUAAUGCUGGGGUCGGUGGUUCAAGUCCACCCGUAGCCA
rnacentral:tRNA from 2 species